AGAUUUGUCCUGCAAUAAAAUACAAUCUAUUGAAAGACGUACAUUUGAAUCACUACCUUUUUUGCGGUAUAUAAAUCUGGGUUGCAAUUUACUCACAGAACUGAGCUUUGGAACGUUUCAGGCCUGGCAUGGAAUGCAGUUUUUAAACAAGGUGUAAGUGAAAUAGUAAAUGAAUACAUGUAAAAAAAACUACGUGUAAAAACAUCAUACAGUUAUUGGUUCGGUGGGUGUACUAAACCCAGUAUGAACUCUGAAAAGUAGGUCUUAAAAUCUACUCAUUUUUCCAAAUGAGGAAACUAAGGUACAAAGAGGCCAAGAGACUUGUCUGUCUCAUAAAUGGCACUCUCUGCUUUCCCUAGUACUCAGCUUUGGUGUGGGCGAGAAAAGAACCCCAGCAAAUAACACCCAGAUCAGCAUUAUCCUGGGAAUCCAUGACAAUGAUGCUUCUCCAGUAGCUGCACCAUCCUUGAAAUUCCACUUUUGACUUUAACUUUGAUUCCUGCUCAGAUGAAUUCAGGAAUGAAAUAUAUUAUGGAAACCCAGCAGUGGUUGAUAAUCCUAAAUUUAAUAGAAAGGAAACAUAGCCCAUCUGUCUGGACCUGUAUAGAAGAAUUUGGAGGAAAAAAAAUAGCAGGUAAGAAAUGUUCCCUUAUUUUGUGAGCUGCCUUUAAUCUGCCCCGUUGUUCUGCAGCAAAGGCUUUUGCAGAAAUACUUGAGUUUUCCUCUUCAGAUAGG